rnacentral:rRNA from 1 species
CGAUGUCGACAGCCGUUGGGUGCCUAGCGCACUUUGUGGCGAAGUUAACGCGAUAAGUCGACCGCCUGGGGAGUACGGCCGCAAGGUUAAAACUCAAAUGAAUUGACGGGGGCCCGCACAAGCGGUGGAGCAUGUGGUUUAAUUCGAUGCAACGCGAAGAACCUUACCUACUCUUGACAUCCUGCGAAUUCGGUAGAGAUACCUUAGUGCCUUCGGGAACGCAGAGACAGGUGCUGCAUGGCUGUCGUCAGCUCGUGUUGUGAAAUGUUGGGUUAAGUCCCGUAACGAGCGCAACCCUUGUCCUUAUUUGCCAGCGCGUAAUGGCGGGAACUCUAAGGAGACUGCCGGUGACAAACCGGAGGAAGGUGGGGACGACGUCAAGUCAUCAUGGCCCUUACGAGUAGGGCUACACACGUGCUACAAUGGUCGGUACAAAGGGUUGCGAGCUCGCGAGAGUCAGCCAAUCCCGAAAAGCCGAUCUCAGUCCGGAUCGGAGUCUGCAACUCGACUCCGUGAAGUCGGAAUCGCUAGUAAUCGUAGAUCAGAAUGCUACGGUGAAUACGUUCCCGGGCCUUGUACACACCGCCCGUCACACCAUGGGAGUGGACUGCACCAGAAGUGGUUAGCCUAACGCAAGAGGGCGAUCACCACGGUGUGGUUCAUGACUGGGGUGAAUCUAAAAGG